UACAGAGGUCUCAAGCGUUGUUCGGAAUGACUGGGCGUAAAGGGCGCGUAGGCGGACGGCUUUGUCGGGCGUGAAAUUCCAGGGCUUAACCUUGGGGCUGCGUUCGAGACGGGUUGUCUAGAGUUUGGAAGAGGGUCGUGGAAUUCCCAGUGUAGAGGUGAAAUUCGUAGAUAUUGGGAAGAACACCGGUGGCGAAGGCGGCGACCCGGUCCUUGACUGACGCUGAGGCGCGAAAGCGUGGGGAGCAAACAGG
rnacentral:rRNA from 1 species